UUCAAAGCAAAACGAAAACCAAAAUGAAGAGAAAGACUUUCGAAAGAAAAAAAGUGCUAAAAAAGAACAAGAAUGUUUUCGGAAUAAAAAAAAUUACCCUUUCCAAAUAUUCUUUUAAUAAAAAAAUAAAAAAAAUGGAACAAUACAAUUGACGUUGUCAAAUUUUUGUCAAAAAAAACGUUCUUAGAAUAUCGCCAUCCUUUAAAAAAAAAGCAUACCCAUUUAGAAAUUUCCAAUUUCUCUCUCCAC
rnacentral:lncRNA from 1 species